rnacentral:rRNA from 1 species
CCUACGGGGGGCUGCAGUAAGGAAUUUUCGGCAAUGGGCGCAAGCCUGACCGAGCAACGCCGCGUGGAGGACGACGGCCUUCGGGUUGUAAACUCCUUUUCCGGGGGAUGACAUCGACCGUACCCUGGGAAUAAGGCUCGGCUAACUCUGUGCCAGCAGCCGCGGUAAGACAGAGGAGCCAAGCGUUGUCCGGAUUGACUGGGCGUAAAGCGCACGCAGGCGGCUGGGCACGUGGGGUGUGAAACCUGGCGGCUUAACUGCCAGACGCCAUCCCAUACGGCCCGGCUUGAGGCAGGCAGAGGUUCGUGGAAUUGCCGGUGUAGUGGUGAAAUGCGUAGAGAUCGGCAGGAACACCAAGGGCGAAAGCAGCGAACUGGGCCUGUUCUGACGCUCAGGUGCGAAAGCGUGGGGAGCGAACCGGAUUAGAUACCCCUGUAGUC